rnacentral:rRNA from 1 species
AGUGAACGCUAGCUGUAGGCCUAACACAUGCAAGUCGAGCGGCAGCACAGUAAGAGCUUGCUCUUACGUAUGGCGAGUGGCGGACGGGUGAGGAAUACAUCGGAAUCUACUUUUUCGUGGGGGAUAACGUAGGGACACUUACGCUAAUACCGCAUACUACCUACGGGUUAACGCAUGGGAUCUUCGGACCUUGCGCGAUUGAAUGAGCCGAUGUCGGGUUAGCUAGUUGUGGGGGUAAAGGCCCACCAAGGCGACGAUCCGUAGCUGGUCUGAGAGGAUGGUCAGGCACACUGGAACUGAGCCGCGGUCCAGACUCCUACGGGAGGCAGCAGUGGGGAAUAGUGGACAAUGGGCGGAAGCCUGGUCCAGCCAUACCGCGUGGGGGAAGAAGGCCUUCGGGUUGUAAAGCCCUUUUGUUGGGAAAGAAAAGCAGCACGUUAAUACCCCGCUGUUCUGACGGUACCCAAAGAAUAAGCACCGGCUAACUUCGUG